CAGCCUCUAAUCCUUUGAAACUAAAAGUAUCCAUUAACACUCACGAUUCAACAAUAACAAAUCCAUAACAAACCUGCAGAAAGACAUGUAAUUAGUCACUUUAUAUAUUAUCUUCAUAUAUACAAAACCAUAAAUUUUUAUUUUAGUUUAUAUUAGCCACUUAACAAUCUAUCCAUGUAUUAUAGAGUUCAUUUGCAAACUCAUUAGAGAAUCGUCCAGGAAAUAAUCUCUGCCUUUUAAACUAAAAAAAAAUUAAAAGCUUCUUAUCUCCAUUAUGAAACUUCAAAUAUUUAAAUCAAACUAACUCCACGAUUUGAGUUUGAAAUAUAUUAUAUUUAGUUUCAAAUCUAAUAUUUUCCUGCCUAAAGGCAUAUAGUUACCACCAAUCAGGUGCAAAAAUAACUAGAGUAUUAAUGAUCUGAUGUAUAAAUGCGAAUAUAUAGCUACCUUUUUUUGAAAAAAGAAUAUAUAGCUACCUGAAACAGGAAAACUACUAAAUUUGUAAUUUUAACUAAAAAUAAGAAAAAAAAACUCAAAAAGGUAUAAAUAAUAUUUUAAAUGGUAGAUUCCUUCACUUUCAAACUUAAUACAUUAAAAUUUCAACCACCUCAACGAUUUAGAGAAGAAGAUUUACCCGAUAUCUUAUUUAAUUCCAGAUCUUCUAUUUUCCUAAUUAAUUUAACAAAUAUUCGCAAGCAUAUUCUUAUUACUUAUGUUACCUACUUAUCCUUUCCUAUAUAUACUAACGUAGGAAAUGAAGCAAUGUCUACCACCAUUAUUAGCUUUAAACAGCGAAGGAAACACUUACGUUUUUGACGUGAAACCAUUCAAAUCCAGUUUGUGUAUUCAGGUGAAAGUAGCCCCACCUUGCAGACAAAAAUGAAAAAAACAAACAAAUUUGAUUUCACUGGAGAUUAUUCAAACCCAUCAUAGCAAAACAUUAAGAUGAAUCUUCCUCAGAUCGAUCGUCUGAUUCAACAACGAAGUUAUUCGACAUGCAAAAAAUAUUCUCGCCGUAGUAAAGUAGGGGAUAAGAAGAGGCGAGGCUCUGAUGUGAAACUAUUCAACUUCUUCCUCUUUUACUGAUUGUGAGUUAUUGUGUAGAAAAGGUUUUCCCAGUUUCUUCCAAAGGUAAUACGGCAAUAAUACAUAUAAUUCAAGGGGAACAGGAAAAAGGUAGGGCAAUUGGUCAGUGACUUAAUUAUAAUUUGUUUGGACGCUAUACGGUGCAAUUUCCC